UCGACAUAUUUACAUACAUCAAGAUAUUACCAUUAUAUUAUUUACAUAUUUUUAAUAUGGGGUAAUAAAUGUAUCCUAUCAUGUCCGCACAGCCCCAAACUUCCUUCUAUGUCAAACCUGUUGAAUGCAAUGAAUUCAUCAGCACAUGAAAAAUUCCGUGAUGUAGUGUAACCAAUUUCUUUUCAUAUUUCCUCCAACAUCCGACGAGUGAGUUUCUAUUUAAGUAUACAUAAACAAAGUUUUUAGACAUAUUUAAAAUGUGAAUUAUUCAAUUUGUUACAUUGUAUAUAUUGCAAAUAUUUCCAUGGAGACAAACUGAAGCUCAAUUCGGACAGUUACCAUGUUUGGCUCAAUUCACACAAGUGGAAAUCACUCGGUAAAUGUUAAAAUCGCCUGUCUUAUAACACCACCAAGUAGAACUAUGGAAAUCUGAGAUUCAAAUUCGUCACAUUAAGCAGAUAUUUUUUAGGUCUAACCUACAUUUUAACUUGGGCAAUCAAAUCUUUCAUUUUUCUUGGCUGAGAGAUUAUGCAUAAAAAACGUCUGGAGCAUCAUGGCCAAUGUUUCAACAAGUGCCGUCCUGACGGUUUUCAGAAGAACAGAACUGGACUGUUGCAUUCCCUUCUAAUGGUGGAACGCUCCUGAAUUAUGUAGUUAAGAAAAUUUUUGAAAUUUUAUAUGUAGCACAAUUUAAAUGGAUCUAAUAUGUCUAAGAACGCAUAUUCCUGAGCAUAUUUUCUUUCAUAAUAAUGUAAAUGUAAAAGUUUUCAAACUAUUAACACGUCCUAUCAGAUCUUCAAAUAUCGUUUCAUGAUGUAGGUCCAGGUUAUAAUAUUAUUUUAUAUUUAAUAAUUGAGGCAGGACAAAAAAGAUUAUCAAUUGAUUUAAAAAACAAAUUAGUUAUGUACAUAUGCAGUUUUUAUGCAGAUUGAAAUCUUUCUCAAUUGCAGUUUAUUUCUUUUUAGACUUGGCCCGUUUAAAAAUAAGUACCGUGCUUCAUAAAGCAAUACAAAAUAAUCCCAAAGGGUGUGAUUUAUGAUCCACAUAUGUACAUCACGAAAUAAUACGUCACGUAUUGCUUGGUUACGUAAAAGAUUUUGACUAACAAAUACUCAUUAGUUGAUUGAUUGAGUGAUAUUAAUCCGUCUUGGCCACAAUUACUCGAGCUGCAGACAAAACGAUAUAUAUCUAUUUAUUAAACUUAAUAACAAUUACAUUAAUAAAAUGAGUAAAUACACAUAAGGCGAGAAACGUAGUACAUAGUGCAGAUAUUAGUUCCUGUACUAAUAUAUUAUGAUCUUAUGAUAAUUAUUCUUAUGAUCUCCGUCAAGCUACAGAGCCAGAAGGCUAUGGACAUUCAAUUGUUUUUUCAUACUUAAGAUUCCUCUGGAUCGUAAAAAAUUGACAUUCAGUAAAUUAACACGCCACUGCUUAAAAUUUUUAGGUUUUUAAUUUUUAAGUUGCCCAUUGCAACUGAAAACUGUUCAAUUAUGCAUUUGUAUUUUCGAACUUUCUCCUGAUUUCCAUUUAAAAUCAGGAGAACGUUCGAAAAUAACGCAUUUUUUAUACAAAAUCAAGUCAUGGAAAUCUAUCAUCCGAUAAAUAACCUUUAAAAUUUUUUAUGGCAUAUUAAUUUUGAACGGACAGUAGGGAUUGAAUAAUUCGUAAACAAAAAAAACUCAGAUUCAAUGCUUUACUACAAAAUUAUUCUAAAUCAUUAGUGCUUUUAUUAAUUGCUUACUAAAAUAAUGGCACUUAAUCAGUACAUUCUACUCGUUUUCAUCAUUCGUCUUACAAUAAAGACGGGCGUAUUGUAAUGCACAAUUUAUUCAAUUUAACUGUGGGCACGAUGUUUGUGAAAUACACAGGUCCCACUGAACAUCGUAUUAUUUAGUGUAUAUUGCAACCUUAUCCAACUCUUUGACAGUGUAUGCACAGAGAGAGAUUAUCGUUAAUAUGACGCCGAAAUAAGGGUAGAGAUGCAGUAGAAUUAAUGUGCAGCAACAAUCAUGAUCAUUCGGUUCUUUAGAGUGUGUUUAUUCAGAAUAUAAGAGAACCCCGCACCAAUACAAGACUGACUUUUAUUAACUUGUCCUACCACUAUUUGGGAAGAAUAAAGUUAUAAGGACUUUCCUCAUUCAGGUUUUCGCAAGUUCUAACUCCGUAUUUGCAUGAACUAAUUUACUGUGAAAUGAUAUAUGGCUCGCGCCCAUUUAACUAAUAAUUUAGUGGGUGAACCAAACCGUAUUAUGGUAAAUCGUAUGUCACCAGGUCUUGUAUAAAGGUGUAGGGGUUCUCCGCGACAGCGUGACGAUAUGGAAAUAAUUGGGUUGUACGGCAGAAAGCUCGAUGAAAAACAGGCCGUUCGCGACGUUCCAGUGGGGGGGGGAAGUUGACGCCAAGAGGAUGCUGAUGUCGUUGUUGGUGGGGCUGGAGUCCAUGGUUGCAGAGUGACCCCUGGUCUCCAUUGUUAAUUUAAGAAGAAUGACUGGAGAUAAGGAUAACUUCGCACGCAUUUUUAGCACUGUUUAUAGUCCAAAAAUUGGUGGUGGUCGUGUGAAUUUUCCGUUGAUAGGUUGGACUAUGAUUGAUGGUACUAUCACACACUAUCCUUGAAUAAGUACGGUAGAUUUACGACUUCGUACAAUGUUAGUUUCGCUUCUUCUCGAUGUAGUGGGACUCUCACGUGAAUCGUAAUUUCCUAGCCCGCAAUGUAGCACUUUGCCAAUGGGUAACUGUACAUAGACACGAUGUCCUGGGGACGAAUUGCAAGGGUAGAGUUUUUUUUUCUGGUGGUCAGGUCAGAGUUUUUCCACAUCAGAUUUUAAUUCGUCUGGACCAAUAGCGGAUAAUGGGGUGAGGUGAGACCGGCAGUGGGUGAGGAUGUCUUGAUACUGUAUAAUCUCAGCCAUUUUAUUCAUUGACUGCAGAAUCUGAUUGGUGUUGAUUGACAUCCGGUUUUGAUAGGUGACUUCUCGCUGUCAAGCCCUCGCUUUUCUUUUGUGCAGUUGCUGUCAGAAUUUGUAGUGUACUGAUAGUGAUCGAGAGCCGCUUGGACGUCAGACGUGAAGUUUUCCAUAACUAAAAUAUUACUAUGAUCCGUAAUUAUACUGUCUUUCAUUUUGCCUAAGUGUUCUUUCACAUAACUCUGAGUUGUAAAGAUUGAAUCCAUAUCGGCAUUCGUAACUAAACUACAACAAAAAGAAAAAGCGGAACCUAGUCCGUCUCUAAUUGAAUCAAUGACGACAUUACGUCUUAGUCUAAGAAAGUCCGUAUGGAAAAGUGAGAUUUUUACACUCUCAAUAAGUCCUAAUCUGUUUUCUAUUGCUUCAAUGAAAAUAUGGGACUUUUUAAGAAGGAAACAGUGUGUUAAAGAAACCUCACAUUUUCCGCCGUUUAAAUCUACAGGUAUUAUUUUAGAGAAUUUGAACUGGGAUUUGUAAAUCAAAGGAGAGAUCGAGGUGUACAGGAAGACAUUUUCAACUUUUCGGACGAAACUGCCAGCUACGAUUUUUACUCGUAGUUGAUCUGAUUUUUGUGUCCCAUCACCAACAGUAUUCAUUUCGGGGUCUGACAGUGUUCAACUUAUGAAUGACACAGGUCGUCUUCGGUCUCUGUGAACCUGUAUCAAACUUCCUCCAGUCCUUGAGGAAAUUCUAAAAAUAAAGAACGCUUUAGUGAAUGAAGUUCACACGUGUGUGUACACAAGGAGGACAAAAUAUACAUGUAUGCAGAUAUAUUAAUUAUGCUACAUGGAACAUAGAUAAAAAGUCGGUACAAAAUAAGCUUUUUCACCCUACUCACUUCAAGUUCAUACACACCAGGCUGGAUUUUAAAACGUAUGCCCUCGCAAGUUCUGUGAUUGUAUGUUAUGAAUCAAGAAUUUCUUCAGUGGUAACCGCCUCUAGGGUAAUUUGUACCGGCGCAUAAUGGGCCAGGUGCCGGAAAAUGUGGCCAUUAAGGCAGUAUCUUGAAUUGGCUAUUCUCAUAUACCAUUGUGUACUACAUAACUAACUUGUCCUCCGUGAAAAAUUUUAAAUGAAACGUUACACCCAUCCAGGAGAACCAAGGGUGUAAACUUUUUCAAAUACAUUACGGAGAUAGGGAAAAUGUAUCUACUAGCAUCUCCGCUCAUCUCGGGGCUCAAUUGACUCCCUAUUGAUGUCAAUCGAUACCUAGUAGUAUGAUAAGUAUUCCCUGCUGCGUAUAGCUGCGGUAACCAAAACCUGCUCUGACCACACCUACUCAAAGUUGUUGAAAUCAAGAAAUCAAAUUCAAGCUAAAUCGAUAUAUUUAAACCAACUCAAAAUAUCCUCAGGCAUGCUACAUGCCACAACAGUGUCUGGUUCUCACAGGGACGUAUUUUUAUUGUCAGAGUCACACCCCCAAGGGGGUGUGGCCAUCAUUAGCAUUUUUAUUAUAGGCAACAUAGUCAUGCGACAUAUCAUUCUUCCUGGCUAUAUAAGGGGAUUUUUUGGAGAACGAUAAUUUUAACAAUCAGAUCACCAGGGCCAUUGAACUAUGGGCCAGAUUUUACGAAUUCUGGCCAAAAAUAUAUAUAGGCCGCACUUAAAGUCAUAAAAAUAAUUGUUUGCGUAAACUAAAGUAUGGGCUACCAUGGGCUAGAGGUAAUGUUUAAUAGCAAACUGACAUACCCACAGGGGGUGUUGUCAUUAACUUCAUUUUUAGUCUAAGUAACCCCAGCCAUUAACCCCAUUUUCAAAUUAUUGAUCGAUUUUCAAAGUUGUGACUGUUUGGAAACCUUAGGUCAAUGGACGAAAUACAUAUUUCCAGAUUUUUUAAAUUCGACCACACUCGCUCUAGAUUAAUAAGGUCACAAGGUCAAGGAAAUUGUACAACAUAAUUAAAGAAUACCGCAAAAUUUCAAACACUAUAAGUCGAACUGCAUGUCAAAAAAAUACUUCCGCACCGUGGGCACUACCAGCAAUGUUCAAAUGGUCACAUGCCACACCCCCAGUGGGUGUGGCCCUCGGCGACUUUUCGAUUUUAACGAAACCAUGUCAUGUGAUAUGUUAUUUACCUCAGCUCGACAAUGGGGAUUCGAUACCAUAUCUAAGAUUGGGAAACCGCACCCAUAGUGGGUGUGGUUCUCAGAAAAGUUUCGAUUUUAAUAAAACCAUGCAAUGUGUUAUAUCAUGUUUCUCAGCUCGGCGAGGGGAUCCCGAUAGAAUUAUUAGAUUUUUGAAACCACGCCCCCAGCGGCGUCCAGCGACUUGUUUUCUCCAAUUUUAAAUUACACCCACACCGAAAUUAGGGCAUCCAGAAUCGGAAAAUUUUCAGAAACCGGUUUUCGAUUUUUCCGAUUUUGGCAAACUUUCGUAAAACCGGUUUCCGAUUUUACCGGUUUUUGAAAUUUUCGUAAAACCGGAUUUCAGUUUUCCCAAAAACCGGUUUUCAAAAUCGGUUUUCUACCAAAUUUUUAAAAUUUGUUAAAUAUAAUAUUGUAAAAUUUAAAGCUGAACAAAGCAUUUUGGGCAUUAAAUUGACAGAUAUUUCAGAACAAUUAAUUUUUGCAUGAAAAACAAGAUAUGACAAAUAUUUAGUGGUUUUGAAACAAAUUUUGUCCAAAAUCGAAAACCGGUUUUCGAGUGUGAUAAAACCGGUUUUUGACAAAACCGUUUUUUUAGAAAAUUGUAAAACCGGUUUUCGGGUAGCUCGAAAACCGGUUUUUAACCGGUUUUACAAAAUCGGAAAAACCGAUUCUGGAUGCCCUAACCGAAAUAGCACCAGUAUUUCUACGUUUCUAUUAAGGCUCGUGUUUUCGGUUGUGUCGGUUUUGAGUGCAUUUUCAGUUCAAAUUUUUAUUUGUCAAACAGUUUAAUGUUUUAUAAUUUUACGCUACAUGCUACAUUUAGAACGGACGAACAUAAUUUUAUCUCAAAAAUUACUGAAAAUAAAAUUAUGAAAAUAUGUUUCUGAAAAUUUAAAACUUUUCAUGCUAUUUCCGAAUUUUGAAAAAUGCAACAAAAAAUUGUAAAAAAUUACAAUCUUUGAAAAUGGGUUUUCUUAAUUUAAUGCAAUUCUAAUUAUUUUGUCGAAAUUCCCUCGUUUUUUAAGAUAAAUGAUGUAUUAUAUGACAUGGUAUAGUUAAAAUUGAAAGCUCACUGCAAACUGAUUUUAUGAAUUCCGGCGAAACCCCUGUCCAGCUGAGAAAAAUUAUAUAACACAUGGCAUGGUUUUCUUAAAAUCGACAAUUUUCUUUGGGCCACACCCACUGUGGGUGUGGUUUAACAAUUUUAGGUAUUACAUCGAAUCCCCCUUGUCGAGCUGAGAAAAAUGAUAUAUUACAUGACAUUGUUUCGUUGAAAUCGACAAUUUCCUUAGAGCCACACCCACUGGGGGUGUGGUGCCAAAAUUGUAAUGCUUCUGUCGAUAUCCCCUAGUCGAGCUAAGAAAAAUGAUAUAUCACAUGACAUUGUUUCGUUGAAAUCGAAAAGUCGCCGAGGACCACACCCACAGGGGGUGUGGCAUGUGACUAUUAAAAAUUUGCACUUAUAAUAUAUGCCUUAGGUUAUCGUUUCACACCAAAAUCUAAUUCUUGUUUCUUCAAAUUCGGCUCCUAUAUAUUUUUGGCCACAAUUUAUUAAAUCUGGCCCAUAGUGCGGCGUAUCAUAAUUGUUUUAACAGAAAACAUCAUAUGUAACGUCGUAACAUAACACAAUAACAUAACAUAAUAUAACAUUAUACAUAACAAUCAUAUAUCACAAUUUCCUAUAUUUGCCUUUGUCAUAAUCUGCCCUUAAAUUAAAAAUUAUGUAUGUACUUUACAUGCAUAUAUGUAGUAUGCACUUUAAUUCAUCCAUACGCCCUGUUUCACAAGCAAAAAGUCUUUCUGAAGUAAGGUACACUUUGGUUGUCUUAAAAAGCCGUCUUCCUUAAAAGUCGUCGCAAUUGUAACUGCGUUGACACUGAUCUUUUAUUUGCAAAAAACUGGGCUGCUGAAUAUUCAUGUGCUUUUCGCGAGGUUUACAUACGUUUGCCAUAUUGUGACUUUAUAACUUGCUACUACGACUUGCUGUAGGAGUAAUUUUUUAAUCAAUAAUUGUUAAUUUCAUAAUAUUUUAUUAACAAAUUUUCUAAUUUGUUAAAAACACUCAUUAAUAACCAGGCUAUAUUUAUUUAUUCCAAAUUACCAACUUUAUAAAAAAAGUAGAACAAGCAUUACUUAAUUCGGCCAUAAAUCAAUCAAUCAAUCAAGUUCGUGACAUUUUCUGCUUUGUAUAAAGCUAUUUAAGCCAAAAACCAAAUCCUCAAUUUUCCGGUACAAAAAGUAAAAAAAAAUGUAUUUAGUCUUAACUUCAUAAUAUAUGUAGGCUUCUGCAAACUCGGUUUUGUACACCUGUUUAUAUUGGUUUAGAAUAAUCCGACGUUAUAAAAAUAUUAGUCAAUCUAGCAAAAAGGUAAAUUGUAUAAUUUCACGAUUAUGGUAUAAUUCAAGUGAAUACAAUUGUAACACUUCUUCAAUAAUAAUUUAUUCUGUAAUCGUGUAGAAAUAUACUAAAUGCAAAUGUACAUUUUUGUGUGUUAUUUUUUAAAAUUAUGAUUUGUAUACAUGUAUGUACAUAGGUACAUCCUUACCCCAAUUUUAAAAAUUAAACAAUUCCUUCUCAUUUACAUAUAAAUGAAUGACCCAACUACUGUGUACCCAUUUUUGACCAGAUAUUUUCAGAAACAUUUCGCAUUUAUUUAUUAAUUUGGUUAUCGAAAAUAAAUCGAAUUAGUCAAGCACUGUCACAAACA